UAAUACAGAGGUGUCAAGCGUUGCUCGGUAUCACUGGGCUUAAAGGGCGCGUAGGCUGUGCGGUACGGUUCGGGUGAAAUCCCUCGGCUUAACCGAGGAACUGCCCGGGCGACGGCCGUGCUAGACAGCAUCAGGGGACGAUGGAACUCCCGGUGGAGCGGUGAAAUGCGUAGAUAUCGGGAGGAACGCCGGUGGCGAAAGCGAUCGUCUGGGGUGCUUGUGACGCUGAGGCGCGAAAGCCAGGGGAGCAAACGGG
rnacentral:rRNA from 1 species